rnacentral:rRNA from 1 species
UGGGGAAUUUUGCGCAAUGGGCGAAAGCCUGACGCAGCAACGCCGCGUGAUUGAUGAAGCUUUUCGGAGUGUAAAGAUCUGUCGUGAGGGAAGAAUAACUUGGAUGCAAAUAGUUUUCAAGUCUGACGGUACCUCACAAGAAAGCACCGGCUAACUUCGUGCCAGCAGCCGCGGUAAUACGAGGGGUGCUAGCGUUGUCCGGAAUCAUUGGGCGUAAAGGGUCCGUAGGUGUCUUUGCAAGUCGUUUGUUACAUUCACCGGCUUAACCGGUGGCCUGCAAUCGAAACUGCAAGGAUAGAGUUCGAGAGAGGAAAGUGGAAUUCCUGGUGUAGCGGUGACAUGCGUAGAUAUCAGGAGGAACACCAAUGGCGAAGGCAGCUUUCUGGCUCGAUACUGACACUGAGGGACGAAAGCGUGGGGAGCAAACAGG